UAAAAAGACGAAUACAUUUUUAUUUAAUUUCUGUUUCUUGCAAUUAAUUUUAUUUUGCAUAAUGAUCUAUAAUCUGCUAACGACGAACAUCGGAAGUCUCACCUUAGGAUCGCAACAUGGCGACCGGUAGCAGCACAACCUUUCCAAACUCCUCUCCCGAAAACCUGUUCCCCUAAUCACCCCGAAACUCGAUCUCCACGGAGCUGCAAACUCGAGUGUCCCGAAGUUGGCGUUUAAUCCUCGUGGUCGCGGAGCUUCGAAAGACGGUGCUGGUUCGUCAUAAACUGCGGGAGCCAAGGAAGAUAAUCGCGUUCGAGUACCGCAGCGACGUGCUGGUAGACCGGAUCCAGAAUCGGGCAGGCUGACGAGACGACGACGACGACGACGCUUCUCCGCGAUGCUUAAACGGAAGUUGGCUCAAGUUCUCAGCGGAUCCUGGACCGAUCCUUGCCAUUGGAUAUCGGCGAGGUUCACCUCGAGGUUUCGUCGGAGGCACGCAUGGCAAACGAUUCCCGCGCGGAUUAACGCGAACGAAGCUCUUAAUCCGCGCGUCGAGAUACUGCCGCCUCGCAAACAUCGCGCUACAGGCCAGGAGGCGUUCAAAAGCGACGUCGCUACGGAAACUCACCCCUUGUCUCGCGGCUUCCCUUCGGCCGCGUUCAACGGGAUAUAAUUAAAAAGGACUCUUAAAUAAUCGACGGCUCUAACAAGAGGCCUCCAACCCCAUUUCUCCGGCUCGUCUCCUCCCCUUCGAACUUUAUUGGGCAAACGAAGAUAUCCCGUCGCUGCUGGCAAAUUCCAUCUCGAAUCACUGGGUCACCGGUGCUAUCGCUCGGUCCGCGGCGCAAAAAAAGGAGGACCAUGAAAUCGGAUAAAAAAGGAAGGCACUCACGGUUAUCACGGGCUCCCUUCAAUCGCUGACUUCUGGCUUCCCGGUUCCCAGGUUUCCCGUUCGUCCAUUUCAUCCCAGAAAUAUAAUACCCGGCGUUAUUCCGAUUCGACUUUUUUGAUCUCGCCGAGCCGGGGCAGUUUUGGCCUCCCAGUUUCACGAUUCGCGGCACCAAAAAGUAUGUUUUGACAUUCUGCACUGCGAACAAGCCUCGGCCGGGUGCGGCUUUUCGAGGAAGCUAAAUAAUAUUUAUUUAGCUAAAUAUAUUUAUUUAGCGGGGAUGAGCUUUUGAGU